AGAAAAUAGUUUAUUUUAUUUUAUCUCACUAGUUUAUCCCCUCAAUACCUAUUGGUUCUACAUCAUCAUCGCACGUGAGAAAAACUUGAACUGUAGAGUUCUUUUCUUUUUUAAAAAUUUAUCAUAGAGAUUUAUACAGGAAGAGAGAAGGAAAAAUAGAGUACAAGAAAGGAGGAAAAAUUUUUCAUUAAGUAAUAUAUGUAUAAAAGAAGUCACCAUUACCAAAAUAGAAAGGCAAAAGGUAAAAAACUUAAUUGCAUACUUCACUCUCUGCUUCCGAGAAAUACCAGUUUGGAUUUCCAAUCUCUAACAAUGGUCCCUACAUGACUAACCAUCUUAUUGACUCCCUAGACAAAUUGUUUCUUCCGUGACAAAAAAUAAUAACUAAGAUAAAUUGAUUGUCAAUUUUGGAAGCUUAAUUGUUUCUAAAGACAGUUAGAUCAUAAUCAUAUGCACCAUCCAAUUGCUGCAAAUGCUAUCCUCAGUUUGACUAUAGUAUGUUCACUUGAAUUGUAUUUAGUUGAAACAGAGAAGUUUGAUGGGCCUUAUGCAAUCAUAUAAUUCCAGAUAUCUUAAGAGAAAUUUCUACAUGACCACAAUUUGAUUAGCUACAAUAAAUGGAAGAGUCUUGAUGGUGAAAAACAUGUAUAUAGAAUUAGUAUAUCAGAGAUGAGAAUGCUAAGAUAGAUGUGUUGAAAUACAACAAAGGACUGGAUACAGAAUGAGUGAAUUCAUAGGAAGGUAAAAGUGGCAUCCACCAAAGAUACCUUGAGAGAUAGGAGAGUGACCACUAAGCAUGUCCACUACAGACUUGCUCAUACACCAGUACGGAAAGUUGAGAAUGCACAAGUUAGAAGAGUAACAAAACAUGGGACAGACCUAGGAUGAUUUGGGUGAGGUCUUAAAGGAUUUAGCAAGCAUUAGACAUAUCUGAUUGGAAUGGAAAAGGACCCAUUUUACAACAUCAACUAAAUUUGGAUAAAAUUUUGUUAGAACUGAGUGGAGUCAAGAGAGUUGAAUAGUAUCUAGUCAUGCCCAGGUAGAUUAGUUGCUUAAGUUCAAUUGAGAAGAGAUAAACCUUGUGCUUCACAGGAUGACAAAUUAACUGCUUGAAGGCUGGCAUUGUAGAACUAUUCCAGUAUGACUUUAACAGGUCUUUUGGAAAAUGAAGAUGAGCAGGGAUAGGACUCUAUGUACAGGAGAUCAAACCAGUCUCUUACUUUAAAAAAUCCCUUCUAGAUGUCCAUUGUUUUAGGAUAGGCAAACAGUUAGAUGCA
rnacentral:misc_RNA from 1 species